rnacentral:rRNA from 1 species
GGAUUAGAAACCCGGGUAGUCCACGCCGUAAACGAUGAGUGCUAGGUGUUAGGGGUUUCGAUACCCUUGGUGCCGAAGUUAACACAGUAAGCACUCCGCCUGGGGAGUACGGUCGCAAGACUGAAACUCAAAGGAAUUGACGGGGACCCGCACAAGCAGUGGAGUAUGUGGUUUAAUUCGAAGCAACGCGAAGAACCUUACCAGGUCUUGACAUCUGGGUGAAACGUCUAGAGAUAGGCGCCUCCUUCGGGACAGCCAAGACAGGUGGUGCAUGGUUGUCGUCAGCUCGUGUCGUGAGAUGUUGGGUUAAGUCCCGCAACGAGCGCAACCCUUGGAUUCAGUUGCCAGCACAUCAAGGUGGGCCCUCUGAAUCGACUGCCGGUGACAAACCGGA